rnacentral:rRNA from 1 species
CAAGUCGAACGGUGUAGCAAUACACAGUGGCGGACGGGUGAGUAAUGAAUCGCUAACGUGCCCUUAGGCCUGGGAUAGCUAGCCGAAAGGUUAGGUAAUACCAGAUGAAAUGACCUGGUCGCAUGAUCGGGUUCUCAAAGCAGCAAUGCACCUUUGGAGCGGGCGAUUUCGUAUCAGCUUGUUGGUGAGGUAACGGCUCACCAAGGCGAUGACGCGUAGCCGGACUGAGAGGUUGGCCGGCCACAUUGGGACUGAGACACUGCCCAGACUCCUACGGGGGGCUGCAGUAACGAAUCUUCCGCAAUGUACGCAAGUAUGACGGAGCGACGCCGCGUGGAGGACGAAGUUCUUCGGAAUGUAAACUCCUGUCAGGGGUUAGAAAGUUCUGAUCAACCCCAGAGGAAGGCACGGCUAACUCUGUGCCAGCAGCCGCGGUAAGACAGAGGUGCCGAGCGUUAGGCGGAAUCACUGGGCUUAAAGCGUGUGUAGGUGGAUGCCUAAGUACCUUGUGAAAUCCCACGGCUUAACCGUGGAACUGCUUGGUAUACUGGGUGUCUUGAGCCAGCUAGGGGCUACCGGAACAAAUGGUGGAGCGGUGAAAUGCGUAGAUAUCAUUUGGAACGCCAAUGGUGAAAACAGGUAGCUGGGGCUGUGCUGACACUGAGACACGAAAGCCAGGGGAGCGAACGGGAUUAGAUACCCCGGUAGUCCUGGCCGUAAACGAUGUCGACUAGAUCGCAGCCGCUCUGACGCGGUUGCGGUCGAAGCAAAAGUGCUAAGUCGACCGCCUGGGGAAGUACGGUCGCAAGGCUAAAACUCAAAGGAAUUGACGGGGGCUCACACAAGCGGUGGA